GCGGCUGUGGUGAAAUUGGUAGACACGCAGCGUUCAGGUCGCUGUGCUCAUACGGGCAUGGGGGUUCGAGUCCCUCCAGCCGCA
rnacentral:tRNA from 1 species